rnacentral:lncRNA from 1 species
GAGCUUGAGACCAGUUUCCUUUUUUUUAAUUUUAGAGUUUGCAUGUUUUGCUUGUUUUUUACCCUUUCCUGUUGCUUCUAAUUUUUGCUUUUUUCUCUGUAGAAAUUUCCCAGGGUCAAGAGUUGCUGUUUACUCAUUUUUCCUGCUUCAGGACUGGGAGUCCUGCAAGUUGCUGCUCAAUUUUGUCUUAGCUUAUGACUCACAGGGUUUUACCUUGGAGCUAUCUUCACUGCUUUGUCAGAGGCUAGAGCAAGCCCAGUGUUUUGGAGCUCUGAACUUCACCUCCAGAGUCUUGGAUUACCAUGAGCAGGGGCAGCUGGAUGGAGUGUAGGCUUCAAAUCGGGGAGACAACUUCAAAUCCAUCCUCAGAUUUCUCUGAAUUGUUUUCCAUAAAGGCUGUGGGUCAAAAUCAAAUGUACACCAUGGGAGUGGAGCCAAGAUGGUACAGUUAUCCUCAGAAGUGCUGUGCCACCAUGAGAAUCCUCUCCAUCCAUAAAAUAAAUACAAGAAUGAAAGAACCA